CUUCAGUGAUGAUACGAUGACGAGUCAGAUGGGACGCUCCUGCUAGAGGCUUCUGUGCAGAGUCACGUUCUGUGUCACUGCACCUGGUGCCUCUACCGGAGAUUUGUCCUAACUCCUGAUUGAUUUAGAGGCAUUUGUCUGAGAAGG